rnacentral:rRNA from 1 species
AUUGAACGCUGGCGGCAGGCUUAACACAUGCAAGUCGAGCGGGGACUUCGGUCCUAGCGGCGAACGGGUGAGGAAUGCUUGGGAAUCUGCCCAGUAGUGGGGGAUAACGUUUCGAAAGGAACGCUAAUACCGCAUACGUCCUACGGGAGAAAGGGGGGGAUCUUCGGACCUCUCGCUAUUGGAUGAGCCCAAGUCGGAUUAACUAGUUGGUGAGGUAAAGGCUCACCAAGGCGACGAUCCGUAGCUGGUCUGAGAGGAUGAUCAGCCACACUGGAACUGAGACACGGUCCAGACUCCUACGGGAGGCAGCAGUGGGGAAUAUUGGACAAUGGGCGAAAGCCUGAUCCAGCCAUGCCGCGUGUGUGAAGAAGGCCUUCGGGUUGUAAAGCACUUUAAGCGAGGAGGAGGCGCUCUAGGAUAAUACCCUAGAUGCGUGGACGUUACUCGCAGAAUAAGCACCGGCUAACUCUGUGCCAGCAGCCGCCGUAAGAC